UACAGAGGGUGCGAGCGUUAAUCGGAAUUACUGGGCGUAAAGCGUGCGCAGACGGUUGCGUAAGUCAGAUGUGAAAGCCCCGGGCUCAACCUGGGAAUUGCAUUUGAGACUGCGUAGCUAGGGUGCGGAAGAGGGAAGCGGAAUUUCCGGUGUAGCGGUGAAAUGCGUAGAUAUCGGAAGGAACACCAGUGGCGAAAGCGGACUCCUGGUCCAGCACCGACGUCAGGCACGAAAGCGUGGGGAG
rnacentral:rRNA from 1 species